AUGCCGUAUCUGCAUCCAGGUGAAACGAAGCUCGAACUCGCUUGUUCAGUGAAUUGUGUUAAAAUUGAUUAAUGACGCGUUCCUGCAGGUUAGUGACUCGACAGUGUCGUCGGGCGUGGGCGUGGAAACCACUAGCGGAGGAUACGAACGAACCGAAAUUCGAACAAAUCGGCGAAAUACACGAACAUCCGUAUGAUAAGUUAUACCGGGAGAGGUGCAAACUUCAAUUUAUUGUAACAGGUGAACGGGCGUAGUGGCAACACUUGCACGAAGGAGUUGAACACCAAGGCGUAGCCUGAGCACACGGACGGGUUAUGGACGGUUAAAUCGACUCGACGCAUCGGCUUAUCCACGCUGCAGAAGCCACUCAGAAUGCACGACGCUGCGCAGGAAACGCAAUUAUCGUAGCUCCCUUCCCCUGCAGCCGAUCCAUAGUCGCCACGGAGUUCAGAUUCUUCAUCCGCAUUGAGUUUCGAGUGGCCCACGGCAAGGAUGCGCCGCCGAUCUUUCUUUCAUCGUGAUCAGCAUGGAUUUCCGGCUCACCCGCAAUCCAACUUCCGAUAAGAGGUCGUCGCAUUUCCCGUAUACGUAUACGAGUAAUUCAAGUUUUCUUUGUUUUUUGCCU